AGAGAUGGGGUUUCACCAGUUUGCAGGAUGGUCUCUAUCUCCUGACCUUGUGAUCCACCCCACCUCAGCCUCCCAAAGUGCUGGGAUUGCAGGUGCGAGCCACGGGUCCAGCCUCUCAGGCGAUUUUCAUACCUGCAUACUUCAUCACUACUUCUGUAAACAGCAAGGAGGGUAGUAUUAUCUGUCAGAUUUCCAGAGCUCUGGUCUCUGUAAAGCCCUCUUCCUCCUCAAUAUUCUGCCUAUGAAUUCUAGCCACAUGGCCUUGCCCAGACUCACAGUUCUUCUUCAACUCAGGAAGAUCUCUGAGCUCCAUCUGCAUUCUUUCUUCCUGUGCUGUGGCCUGGAAAGUUUUCUAAGGUGUUUGGGAGCUGAGUGCCACGUGCUGACAUCACUAAGAUCAAUACAGCAAACUCUGAAAGAUGGACAGAGAGACAGGAGAUCGUCCUUUGUAAUUCAGUGUGAUCUGUGCUGCAAUAGAGGUGAGCACAAGGGCCUUACGAAGGCUCAAUGAAGAGCAUGCUUGACUGCAGGGGAGGGUACUUAGGUUAGAAAAGAUGAAUCGAAGUAUGUUCAUAGGGAGCAUGGGAGGAGAGGUGGUGGGAAAGGUGUUCCAGACAGUGUGUGUCAAGGCCAAGAGCCAGGGGAACACAGGUGGGGCUUCUUUUUUUUUCUUCUAAGAUGGAAGAGUGUUCUGAUCGGCUGGAAAACAACGCACAUGGGAAGCUGUACAGAAAUGAGUGGGGAAAGGUAAUACUUAACAGCAAUAGCAGUUAAUAUUUAGUGCCCACUUACGACAUGCUGGACACAGUUCCGGGUACUCUGAACAUAUUCGCUCAUUUAAUCUUUACAACAACCCUAUGAGGUAGGUACUAUUAUUAUCCCCAUUUUCAGGUGCGGAAUCUGAGGCACAGAGAGAUUAAGUAUGUUGCCCAGGGCCACGCACCAAGUAUGUGGUAGGUCCUGGAGUUGAAUGCAGAGCCCCUCCACUCUAAACUCCUGAAAGCCAGAUGCUACAAGGCGUUGUUAUUCCAAGUGGAGGAAUGCUAAGGACAGCAUCCUGCAGGUGACCAGGAAACCCAGAAGCAUUCAAAGCAGGGAAAUGGCUUAAAACAAGGUGGUAUAAGAAAGUACUCCCAGAGCAGCAUGCAAGUCUGGUUUAGUGGAGGUCUCCGCUAGCCACAAGAGGUGGUAAGAGGCUGAGCUGAAGCAGCUGCAGCAGGGAUGCAGAGGGUACAUUCCCCAAACCCUUAUGGGCAGAGUCCUUUGGCUUCAGUGACCAAGGCCAAGGGUGCAGAGGAGAAGCCCAAGAAGAUGCCAGGUGUCUGGCUUAUGCCCCUGUGUGAACGUGAAGCCUCUCAUUGACAUGCAGGUUACAGGAGGAAAAGCAGGUUUAUUUGGGAAGGAGGCUUCUAGACCAUGACUCCCAUUUUAGCCAUGUAGUUUUUGAAGUGCUUGUACAAGUUCUAGGUGGAAAUGUCCAGGAGGCAGUGGGGAACUCAAAGUAGAUCUCAGGAGAGAGGCUUAGGCCAGAGGGCUUGGGAAAUCAUCAGCAUGGGGGUGGGAGGAGAGCUGGUAUUUGGAUGAGAUUGCAGUGGAGCAUGAACAGAGUGGGAAAAGGUGGUGAUGAACCCAGGGACUCCAGUAUGCGGUAGCUGGCUGUGAGAUUAGGAAGCAAUGAAGGAGGCCAAGAAGGAUGUGGGGGAGAAGCAUCAAUAAGGAAUAAAUGAGUUGCAUGUGCUCCAGAGAGGCCAAAUAAAGACUGGAUUUGGCUCUCGCAGGUCAUACACGAAAGAAUCUUGGAACCAAAAGGAAAACGGUGGUGGUUUAAAGGGUAUAUUCAGUUUCUAGGUCUGCUGUCACAAAAUACCAGAAACUGGGUGUCUUGUUAAAACAACAGAAAUUUUUUGUCUCACAGUUUUGGAAGCUAGAAGUUCAAAAUGAGGUUUUGGCAGCACCAUGCUCUCUCUGAAGAUGCUAGGAAGAAUCUGCUCCAUGCCUUUCCAUUCGCUUCUGGGGUUUCCUGCAAGCCCUGACAUUCCUUGGCUUGUAGAUGCAUCACCCCAGUUUCUGCCCCCAUCAUCACAUGGCCUCCUCUCUGCGUGUGCCUCUGCGUUCCCUCUAUUCUUCUUCUAAGGACACCGACACCAGUCAUAGUGGAUUAAGGAUCCACUCCUAACUAAUUACAUCUGCAACAACCGUAUUUCCAAAUAAAGUCACAUUCUAAGAUUCCUAGGGAGAACAUGAAUUUUUGGGGGUGUGUGGAUACUGUUCAACCUGGGACAUGGAGUAAAUAAAUGGCAAGGAAGAUUACAGAUGACUUUAAGCUAAAGAGGGAGAUAGGGUUAAAUGUAGGACUUUUUUUUUUUUUCCAGGACGG
rnacentral:lncRNA from 1 species